rnacentral:rRNA from 1 species
UGGGGAAUAUUGGGCAAUGGGCGAAAGCCUGACCCAGCAACGCCGCGUGAGUGAUGAAGGCCUUCGGGUUGUAAAACUCUUUGGACAGGGACGAAGAAAGUGACGGUACCUGUAGAACAAGCCACGGCUAACUACGUGCCAGCAGCCGCGGUAAUACGUAAGGUCCGAGCGUUGUCCGGAAUCAUUGGGCGUAAAGGGUACGUAGGCGGAUAAGCAAGUUAGAAGUGAAAUCCUAUAGCUCAACUAUAGUAAGCUUUUAAAACUGCUCAUCUUGAGGUAUGGAAGGGAAAGUGGAAUUCCUAGUGUAGCGGUGAAAUGCGCAGAUAUUAGGAGGAAUACCGGUGGCGAAGGCGACUUUCUGGCCAUAUACUGACGCUGAGGUACGAAAGCGUGGGUAGCAAACAGG